GUUGUGCCUUUGCCAUUUUGGCUAUUCUUUGAUCCAUUCAAAUGGUAGUUGACCAUUUUUUCCCAUGUCGUUCAGGCUUUGGAUACCAUUUCAAGGCAUUUGAAAUCAUUUUGGCUGAGCAGCCUAUACUUUUCUGCA